GGGAUGUAGUUUAGUGGUAGAACGGCGGUCUUCAAAACCGCAAGUGCGGGUUCGAUUCCU
rnacentral:tRNA from 1 species